UACGUAGGGUGCAAGCGUUGUCCGGAAUUAUUGAGCGUAAAGAGCUCGUAGGCGGUUCGUCACGUCGGCUGUGAAAUCCCGAGGCUCAACCUCGGGUCUGCAGUCGAUACGGGCGGACUUGAGUACUGCAGGGGAGACUGGAAUUCCUGGUGUAGCGGUGAAAUGCGCAGAUAUCAGGAGGAACACCGGUGGCGAAGGCGGGUCUCUGGGCAGUAACUGACGCUGAGGAGCGAAAGCGUGGGGAGCGAACAGG
rnacentral:rRNA from 1 species